AUACGUAGGGGGCGAGCGUUGUCCGGAAUGAUUGGGCGUAAAGGGCGCGUAGGCGGCCCGGUAAGUCUGGAGUGAAAGUCCUGUUUUUAAGAUGGGAAUUGCUUUGGAUACUGUCGGGCUUGAGUGCAGGAGAGGUAAGUGGAAUUCCCAGUGUAGCGGUGAAAUGCGUAGAGAUUGGGAGGAACACCAGUGGCGAAGGCGACUUACUGGACUGUAACUGACGCUGAGGCGCGAAAGCGUGGGGAGCGAACAGGAUUAGAUACCCUGGUAGUCCACGCUGUAAACGAUGGAUACUAGGUGUAGGGGGUAUCGACUCCCUCUGUGCCGGAGCGAACGCAAUAAGUAUCCCGCCUGGGGAGUACGGCCGCAAGGUUGAAACUCAAAUGAAUUGGCGGGG
rnacentral:rRNA from 1 species